UUGAUUGGUGCUUGCAUCAUGAUUUACAUUUGAGUGAGUGGCGAACUGGUGAGUAACACGUGGGAAACCUGCCCAGAAGCGGGGGAUAACACCUGGAAACAGAUGCUAAUACCGCAUAACAACUUGGACCGCAUGGUCCGAGCUUGAAAGAUGGCUUCGGCUAUCACUUUUGGAUGGUCCCGCGGCGUAUUAGCUAGAUGGUGGGGUAACGGCUCACCAUGGCAAUGAUACGUAGCCGACCUGAGAGGGUAAUCGGCCACAUUGGGACUGAGACACGGCCCAAACUCCUACGGGAGGCAGCAGUAGGGAAUCUUCCACAAUGGACGAAAGUCUGAUGGAGCAACGCCGCGUGAGUGAAGAAGGGUUUCGGCUCGUAAAACUCUGUUGUUAAAGAAGAACAUAUCUGAGAGUAACUGUUCAGGUAUUGACGGUAUUUAACCAGAAAGCCACGGCUAACUACGUGCCAGCAGCCGCGGUAAUACGUAGGUGGCAAGCGUUGUCCGGAUUUAUUGGGCGUAAAGCGAGCGCAGGCGGUUUUUUAAGUCUGAUGUGAAAGCCUUCGGCUCAACCGAAGAAGUGCAUCGGAAACUGGAAAACUUGAGUGCAGAAGAGGACAGUGGAACUCCAUGUGUAGCGGUGAAAUGCGUAGAUAUAUGGAAGAACACCAGUGGCGAAGGCGGCUGUCUGGUCUGUAACUGACGCUGAGGCUCGAAAGUAUGGGUAGCAAACAGGAUUAGAUACCCUGGUAGUCCAUACCGUAAACGAUGAAUGCUAAGUGUUGGAGGGUUUCCGCCCUUCAGUGCUGCAGCUAACGCAUUAAGCAUUCCGCCUGGGGAGUACGGCCGCAAGGCUGAAACUCAAAGGAAUUGACGGGGGCCCGCACAAGCGGUGGAGCAUGUGGUUUAAUUCGAAGCUACGCGAAGAACCUUACCAGGUCUUGACAUACUAUGCAAAUCUAAGAGAUUAGACGUUCCCUUCGGGGACAUGGAUACAGGUGGUGCAUGGUUGUCGUCAGCUCGUGUCGUGAGAUGUUGGGUUAAGUCCCGCAACGAGCGCAACCCUUAUUAUCAGUUGCCAGCAUUAAGUUGGGCACUCUGGUGAGACUGCCGGUGACAAACCGGAGGAAGGUGGGGAUGACGUCAAAUCAUCAUGCCCCUUAUGACCUGGGCUACACACGUGCUACAAUGGAUGGUACAACGAGUUGCGAACUCGCGAGAGUAAGCUAAUCUCUUAAAGCCAUUCUCAGUUCGGAUUGUAGGCUGCAACUCGCCUACAUGAAGUCGGAAUCGCUAGUAAUCGCGGAUCAGCAUGCCGCGGUGAAUACGUUCCCGGGCCUUGUACACACCGCCCGUCACACCAUGAGAGUUUGUAACACCCAAAGUCGGUGG
rnacentral:rRNA from 2 species